rnacentral:rRNA from 1 species
GUCUAUGGCCAUACCACCCUGCACGUGCCCGAUCUCAUCUGAUCUCAGAAGCUAAGCAGGGUCGGGGCUGGUUAGUCCUUGGAUGGGAGAUGCUUGUCUUGUGUUUUUUACAAAUGCAUGUGUGUCUAUAGUCA